rnacentral:rRNA from 1 species
GAUGAACGCUGGCGGCGUGCCUAAUACAUGCAAGUCGAGCGAACAGAUAAGGAGCUUGCUCCUUUGACGUUAGCGGCGGACGGGUGAGUAACACGUGGGUAACCUACCUAUAAGACUGGGAUAACUUCGGGAAACCGGAGCUAAUACCGGAUAAUAUUUCGAACCGCAUGGUUCGAUAGUGAAAGAUGGUUUUGCUAUCACUUAUAGAUGGACCCGCGCCGUAUUAGCUAGUUGGUAAGGUAACGGCUUACCAGGGCGACGAUACGUAGCCGACCUGAGAGGGUGAUCGGCCACACUGGAACUGAGACACGGUCCAGACUCCUACGGGAGGCAGCAGUAGGGAAUCUUCCGCAAUGGGCGAAAGCCUGACGGAGCAACGCCGCGUGAGUGAUGAAGGUCUUCGGAUCGUAAAACUCUGUUAUUAGGGAAGAACAUACGUGUAGGUAACUGUGCACGUCUUGACGGUACCUAAUCAGAAAGCCACGGCUAACUACGUG